GGCUUUGUGGUGUAAAUUAGCAUAUUGGGUUGCAACCCCGAAGAUGUGGUGAGAGCUACCUUAGCUU
rnacentral:tRNA from 1 species